rnacentral:rRNA from 1 species
AAGACCUUGCGCUUUUGGAGCGGCCGAUGCCUGAUUAGCUUGUUGGUAAGGUAAAAGCUUACCAAGGCUUCGAUCAGUAGCUGGUCUGAGAGGACGGCCAGCCACACUGGGACUGAGACACGGCCCAGACUCCUACGGGAGGCAGCAGUGAGGAAUUUUGGACAAUGGGGGCAGCCCUGAUCCAGCCAUGCCGCGUGAGUGAAGAAGGCCUUCGGGUUGUAAAGCUCUUUCAGCCGGAACGAAACGGUUACGGUUAACACCCGUGACUACUGACGGUACCGGAAGAAGAAGCACCGGCUAACUACGUGCCAGCAGCCGCGGUAAUACGUAGGGUGCGAGCGUUAAUCGGAAUUACUGGGCGUAAAGCGUGCGCAGGUGGUUUUGUAAGUCAGAUGUGAAAGCCCCGGGCUCAACCUGGGAACU